AACUUCAGCGUAGUACGUGGAGUAUGGGAGUUGGUCUAUUUGUAUUUUGUAAAUAUUAGGUACUUAUGGUACUGUCUGUAGUACUUACUUUCAACACGAACUUGCAUCACAUUCAAAGUAUUUUUCGUCUGUGCCUGACUGUCUGUUGUGCCAUUUAGUACUUAAAAAACUGUGCAUUUUCUGUAUUAUAUUUCGUUGUAGGUACCUAUUAGAGAAUAAUAUUGUUCGUUCAAUCAAGUCCUUCAGAUUCUGAUCCAGUAAAAAUCAAAUACAAAUACCAAUACAUACGUGAGUAAUCGAUCCGCAAUCGCUUAAAAAUGGAAAUCAUCAAUUCAGUACUAUAUUGGUCGGGAGCCACAGUAUUAUGUGGAUUGAAAACCAUAGGACUAUGUGGAUUGGAAGCCAUCAAUUCAGUACUAUUUAUUUUGGGAUCCAUCAAUGCAAUACUCAACAAUUCAUUAUUUCGAGGAUUGGUAGCCAUGAAUUCAAUACUAUUGAGAUUUAUGAAUUACAACCACCUCUUGGAAAUUCCAUAUACAAUGGAGCUCCCGAAGAUAAAUCCAGAUGAUGGAAUAGAAGAAAAAAUUACAAAAGAUGGGCAUAUAUCGUACGUACUUGUACUGUUUAUACUUGCAGUGCUCAUACCUGUAAUUGACCGAGCAUUGCGACACUUCUUCUACGUUACAAUGUUCUUAUUAUUUGUACUGGUCCCAGCAUUGCGAUACUUCGUCGGAGUUUUGUACCAAUCGCCUUCUCGAUCACCAUUGUUGUUUUUAUCUUAAGAUUUCAUUUUUCCUCAUUUUUUUUUUUUUUUUUUUCUUUUAUGGACACAACUUCUUAUGUGAUACAAAUAAAAACUAUGGAACGUUAA